rnacentral:lncRNA from 1 species
GAGCACACCCAGUUGCCCUACUGCAGAUGCCACCACCUCUCCACCAAUGCCCCCUACAGUUCACAUAGUCCUCAUGCAGUCCCUGCUCCACAGAGAUGGAAACACUUGCCUUCCUGUAGAGGAUCAAGGCACACAGUCUAUGCAGACCAACAAGUAGCUUGAGGGCUUGCUGUUGGGUGGGGCUGGUCUCUAGGGUGGGCUGCCUGCCCUGGCUGAAAUGGAUUAAAUCUACACUCUGCUGGAUGUGGCAGACCCCUGGGCUAUCAGGCCAGAGGAAGAACUUCAAUGGCAUGUGCUGGUGUCUCUGUCAGCACACAUGUCCUAGAUUACAACAAUGGCCACCACCAAAGUCUCAGUCUCUGGAGAGGUCUCAUCUCUCACCAAAAUGCACCCAGAGCCUACCAAGUAUGUCAACUAUGUCUCCCAGUCCUGAAGAGGUGGCCUUAUGUAGAAGGAGUCUUGGGGAGCCCAGGAGCUCACAUCCCACUGGUCACCAGAGCCAGAUGCUCCAGCAUGGCAACUGACAGAUGAGUGGUGUAGGUCUGUACUUUGGAACCAAACGUGGGACCCCAAAGUGGAGCACACCAAAGUCAACCACUAGGCCACCUGAGUUGGCCUCAAAUUGCUCAUAUUUUUAACUAGCAAAAAUAUAUUUUGGUUUUAGGAUAAAUAUUUCUUUAUGUCGCAUUUUAGUUUCAGUUUUUAUAUCUUCCUUUAUAUUUUUAAAAAGCAAUUUCUUGAAGGUUAAUUCUUCUUCCUACUCUCUGGAUUUUCCUUUCAAGUUUCAUUGUUUUACUUAUUUUGGGCUGUAUUUCAUGAAAGAUGAUUUUACCAUAUAUCUGAUGAUUCUUCUCUGUUCAUAUAUAUGAGUUAACCACUCAAUGGAAGUUCUGAGGAGAGGGAAGAUUUUUUAAAAUAUAGCCAUAUAUGUUUCAAGUGGGGACACUAUUUGAUUGUGAGAAAUUUAAAAUAUUAGGGCCUCUGACUCUCUUCUCUUGAGCUGACCAGCUUCUAGAAAGAGAAAAUUUCAAUAUCUUCUCUAAAGGUUAUUAGCAUGGCUGCCAGUAUUACC